UAAAAGAGGACUGAGGGGACGGACUUUAAAGGAGGAGCUUUAAAAGAGUUUUCAUCUUCCCUCCAGUUCACCUCUCACAUGAUUAAAAGUCUGAUUUUCUCUUCGUUCAUGAUGAACUUCUUUGGAGCUCUGAUCCUUUUCAUGACUCUGUCUGCAGCAGUUGGAUUGAGAUGCCACCAGUGUUCAGGUGAAACCUGCACAAAUGCACUAACUUGUCCUCCCAGCUUUGACCGAUGUGCCACUGUAGAAGUGGACGGCCAGACAGAUUAGUCCCAUACAGUGCUGUGAGACGGACUUAUGUAACAGCGGCCAGGCUGGUGAAGAUGGCACCAAACCCACUGGUUCCACCCCCAAACCCACUGGUUCCACCCCCCAGCCCACUGGUUCUACACCUAAACCCCCUGGUUCCAUCCCCAAACCCACUGGUUCCACCCCCCAGCCCACUGGUUCCAGCAAAAUACCCACUGGUUCCAUCCCCAAACCCACUGGUUCCACUCCCCAGCCCACUGGUUCUACACCUAAACCCCCUGGUUCCACCCCCAAACCCACUGAAACCCUCUUGUGCCACCUACAAACCCUCUAGUUCCGCCCCCUAACCUCCUGGUACCAUCAACAUACCCACUGGUCCCACCCUUUAUCCACUGGUUCCAGCAAAAUACCCCCUGGUUCCACUCCCAAACCCAUUGGUUUCACCCCUCAGCCCACUGGUUCUACACCUAAGCCUCCUGGUUCCACCCCCAAACCCACAGGUUCCAGCAAAACACCCCCUGGUUCCAUCCCCAAACCCAUUGGUUUCACCCCCCAACCCCCUGGUUACACCCCCUAACCCACUGAAACCCUCUUGUGCCAACUACAAACCCUCUGGUUUCGCCCCCUAACCUCCUGGUACCAUCAACAUACCCACUGGUCUCACCCUAAAUCCACCUACAGCUUCAGAAAAUGUAUCUUCUUUCGCACCCAAUUUGUAACUCAUUAAGAAUAAGCACAUUUUCAAAAUGUAAAGCUGCAAAUGACUGCAUGACUGCAAAUCCAUACUCAAUAAAUACACAAUAUGAUCAACCACUGAAUUGUCCAAUCAUUUAAGCUCUGCAG